UACGGGGGGAGCAAGCGUUGUUCGGAUUUACUGGGCGUAAAGGGCGCGUAGGCGGUCAGCACAAGUCAGUUGUGAAAUCUCCGGGCUUAACUCGGAAAGGUCAACUGAUACUGUGCGACUAGAGUGCAGAAGGGGCAACUGGAAUUCUCGGUGUAGCGGUGAAAUGCGUAGACAUCGAGAGGAACACCUGCGGCGAAGGCGGGUUGCUGGGCCGACACUGACGCUGAUGCGCGAAAGCCAGGGGAGCGAACGGG
rnacentral:rRNA from 1 species